GUCGAGCGGAUGAGAAGAGCUUGCUCUUCGAUUCAGCGGCGGACGGGUGAGUAAUGCCUAGGAAUCUGCCUGGUAGUGGGGGACAACGUUUCGAAAGGAACGCUAAUACCGCAUACGUCCUACGGGAGAAAGCAGGGGACCUUCGGGCCUUGCGCUAUCAGAUGAGCCUAGGUCGGAUUAGCUAGUUGGUGAGGUAAUGGCUCACCAAGGCGACGAUCCGUAACUGGUCUGAGAGGAUGAUCAGUCACACUGGAACUGAGACACGGUCCAGACUCCUACGGGAGGCAGCAGUGGGGAAUAUUGGACAAUGGGCGAAAGCCUGAUCCAGCCAUGCCGCGUGUGUGAAGAAGGUCUUCGGAUUGUAAAGCACUUUAAGUUGGGAGGAAGGGCAUUAACCUAAUACGUUAGUGUUUUGACGUUACCGACGGAAUAAGCACCGGCUAACUCCGUGCCAGCAGCCGCGGUAAUACAGAGGGUGCAAGCGUUAAUCGGAAUUACUGGGCGUAAAGCGCGCGUAGGUGGUUUGCUAAGUUGAAUGUGAAAGCCCCGGGCUCAACCUGGGAACUGCAUCCAAAACUGGCAAGCUAGAGUACGGUAGAGGGUGGUGGAAUUUCCUGUGUAGCGGUGAAAUGCGUAGAUAUAGGAAGGAACACCAGUGGCGAAGGCGACCACCUGGACUGAUACUGACACUGAGGUGCGAAAGCGUGGGGAGC
rnacentral:rRNA from 1 species